AUAAAACCAGGCUGCCCGAGCUAGCAGUAGUAAUUUGCUUGGGUCCUCUUCUAAUGUGUGGCAGGUUUGUUUUUUCGCUCUUUGCAAUUAAAUCUUGCCAUUGCUCACUCUUUGGGUCCACACUGCUUUUAUGAGCUGUAACACUCACCGCGAAGGUCUGCAGCCUCGCUGCUGAAGCCAGCGAGACCACGAACCCACCGGGAGGAACGAACAACUACAGCUGCGCCGCCUUAAGAGCUGUAACACCGCGAAGGUCUGCAGCUUCACUUCUGAGCCAGCGAGACCACGAACCCACUAGAAGGAAGAAACUCCGGACAUGCCCCCUUUAAGAACUGUUAACACUCAGCGCGAGGGUCCGAGGCUUCUUUCUUGAAGUCAGUGAGACCAAGAACCCACCAAUUCUGGACACAGUGACAAGGAAAAGACAGCGGUAAUUGCCACAUUGAGUGAACCAAGUUUCUAAAUGGCUGGCAUUUGCAUAUUAAAGGUUGCCUGCCCGGCCCUUCAAGCCACCUUUUCUGUUAGAAAAGAGAUGGUUCGGGGCUGUUUUUUUAUUACAGGAAAAUUUCCUCCGAGAACCUUUACCCUGAGUAGCUGCCUGGAAAUUAUUUCUUAAGAACACCUGUAUCACCAGCCUGCAUCUCCCUCAAAGCAGAACCUGAGAUAAAAAGGCUUCUGUGUGAGUGUUUUUUCUGAGAAUGAGGGAAAUACAGAAAGACGGUGGAAGUGGGGAAGGAAAGCUCCUAAGAGUACGCAGUAUUGAAAUGGUCCCUGCCUGCAGGUGGCUGGUUUCUGACCAGGAUGAACAGCCUCUCUGAGUAUUUGAGUAAAGAACAAAGGCCGUUUUGGGGGAAGUCGGACCUGAAUGGGUCUUGGUGCACAAGAAGCUGAGAAAGCAGGAGAGAAGAAUCCAGAGGAAAAAGAGGGAUUCACACAGGAGCCUGGAGGGGCAAUGUCACAUCUGGAACUCUGGAACCCUCCUUGUGUUAAGGCCAUGGAAGGAGGUCGCCAGCACAUCUCAAAGUUCUGCAGAUGCCACAUGGAGCAGCCUGAAAGAGGAGGAGAGACACCUUAAAAUUAGAUGGUUUGUUGAAAAGGAGUGAUGAUUGGCUAGACCACGAGGGAAGCUCGCAGGCACUGUGUGUCAGGCCUGAUGUUUAGUUACUGCUAGUUGUAACUGGGCUUGGAGAUUCUGUUCAGUCAACUAAAUAGAGCCUAAUUAUCCAAAUAGAUUCACAAUUUUGUUUCAAUAUGUAAAGAUAAAAGACCAUUUUUCUCUAAUGAUAAACAAAAAG
rnacentral:lncRNA from 10 species